UUCAUUCGUACACAAGAGGGACCUUGGUCAUGGAACAUGGCAAGGGAAAGUGUGUGUCAUCGAUGAAGAAGGGAGACACGAGACACCAUAUCAAGGGAUAACACCACUAUAACCGAGGGAGAUGCAACCGGUAAAGAAGGUGGAGAUCCCAUCAUGACAGUUCUGAUGGAGAUUCACACUGUGAGUAUAUUUGAUCACGGAAGGGUGUUGUUUAUGCAUAUGAUAUCAGGUUAUUCUGAAUGAAAUUAAGGUCAUCAACAGCAUUCUCGAAACUCAGAUUGAGCAGAUUAAAGAACUUACUCAGAUGGUGGCUACUCAAACGAGGGUCCUGGAGGAAAUGAUGAAAACUGUAAACUCUACUCGCGUUGAGGCACAGGAGCAGAAUGUUACUAUGACAAC